UUUUCUGAAGUGGUGUAGGAGCUGGCGGUUCUGUGCCUCUGCUGAGAGCCGAGAAAAGUACUCGCGCAAGCUUGGAGGCCAAGCUAUGUUUUUGAGGACAAGUUUUCUCCGUGUUGCUUUGGCUGUCCUGACAUUAGCUCUUGAGAUUCAGUUCAUCUUGAUCUGUCUGAUUCCUCCUCUCAUGUUCUGGGAUUAAAGGAUGCAGUGACCUAUGAUGAUGUGCACAUAAACUUCACUCAGGAAGAAUGGGUCUUGUUGGAUCUUUCUCAAAAGAGGCUCUACAAAGAUGUUAUCCUGGAGACCUACAGGAACCUCACUGCUAUAGGAUACAAAUGGGAAGAAUACAAUAUUGAAGAAUAUUGUCAAAAUUCUAGAAUACAUGGAAGGCAAGAAAGAAGUCAUCCUGAAGAUAAACUCUAUGAAUAUAGACAAUGUGGUAAAGUUUUUGCAUGUCACAGUCAUCUUCAAAGUCAUGAAAGAAUUCGUGCUGGAGAGGAAUCCUGUGAAUGUAAUCAAUGUAAUAAUCACAGUACUCUUCAAAAUCCUGAAAAAAAUCAUACUGAAGAGAGACUAUAUGAAUGUAAUGAAUGUGGUAAAGCUUUUUCACAACAGAGUCAUCUCCAAAUACAUACAAGGACACAUCAUGGACAGAAACUCUAUGAAUGUAAGCAAUGUUGUAAAGCCUUUGCCUGUUGCAGCAGUCUUCAAAAACAUGAAAAAGAUCAUACUAGAGAUACAACCUAUGAGUCUAAGCAAAGUGGUAUAGACUUUUCACAUCAGAGUUAUCUCUAUAAGCAUAAAAGAACAUAUAUUGUACAGAAACACUACAAAUGCACUCAAUGUGAUAAAGUGUUUUCAAAACGUAGUAAUUUCCAAAGACAUAAAAGACUACAUACAGGAGAGAAACCCUAUGAAUGUAACCAAUGUGGUAAAGGCUUUGCACUGCCCAGAUAUCUCAGAAAACAUAGAAGAACACAUAUUGGAGAGAAACCCUAUGAAUGUAAUCAGUGUGGUAAAGCCUUUACACAGAGCAGUGGUCUUCAAAAUCAUGAAAGAAUUCAUACUGGAGAGAAACCCUAUGAAUGUAAUCAAUGUG
rnacentral:lncRNA from 1 species